UGCCAGCAGCCGCGGUAAUACAGAGGUCUCAAGCGUUGUUCGGAAUCACUGGGCGUAAAGGGUGCCGUAGGUGGCGUGGUAAGUCAGAUGUGAAAGCCCGGGGCUCAACCUCGGAAUUGCAUCCGAUACUGCCGUGCUCGAGUACUGGAGAGGUGACUAGAAUUCUAGGUGUAGCAGUGAAAUGCGUAGAUAUCUAGAGGAAUACCAAAGGCGUAGGCAGGUCACUGGACAGUUACUGACACUGAGGCACGAAGGCCAGGGGAGCAAACGGGAUUAGAUACCCUGGUAGUCC
rnacentral:rRNA from 1 species